CCUACGGGUGGCAGCAGUGAGGAAUAUUGGUCAAUGGACGAGAGUCUGAACCAGCCAAGUAGCGUGAAGGAUGACUGCCCUAUGGGUUGUAAACUUCUUUUAUAUGGAAGUAAAAUGUUCCACGUGUGGGAUUUUAUAUGUACCAUAUGAAUAAGGCUCGGCUAACUCCGUGCCAGCAGCCGCGGUAAUACGGAGGAUCCGAGGGUUAUCCGGAUUUAGUGGGUGUAAAGGGAGCGUAGGUGUGUUGUUAAGUCAGUUGUGAAAGUUUGGGGCUCAACCGUAAAAUUGCAGUUGAAACUGGCAGUCUUGAGUACAGUAGAGGCGGGCGGAAUUCGUGGUGUAGCGGUGAAAUGCUUAGAUAUCACGAAGAACUCCGAUUGCGAAGGCAGCUCACUGGACUGCAACUGACACUGAGGCUCGAAAGUGUGGGUAUCAAACAGGAUUAGAUACCCUAGUAGUC
rnacentral:rRNA from 1 species